UCCCUAUGGGGUGCAGCAGGCGCGAAAACUCCGCAAUACACGAAAGUGUGACGGGGGGACCCCAAGUGCUCUCGCGCAAGCGAGUGCUUUUGUGAAGUGUAAAUAGCUUCUUGAAUAAGAGCUGGGUAAGACCGGUGCCAGCCGCCGCGGUAACACCGGCAGCUCGAGUGGUAAUCGUUAUUAUUGGGCCUAAAGCGUCCGUAGCCUGUUUGAUAAGUCCUUGGGCAAAUCCUGCCGCUUAACGGUAGGAAUUCUGGGGAUACUGUCAGACUUGAGGCCGAGAGAGGUCGGAGGUACUUCUAGGGUAGCGGUGAAAUGCUAUAAUCCUAGGGGGACCACCAGUGGCGAAAGCGUCCGACCAGAGCGGGCCUGACGGUAAGGGACGAAAGCCAGGGGCGCGAACGGGAUUAGAUACCCCGGUAGUCCUGGCCGUAAACGCUGUGGGCUAGGUGUUGCAUGCUCUACGAGGGCGUGCAGUGCCGAAGAGAAGUUGAUAAGCCUACCGCCUGGGAAGUACUAUCGCAAGAUAGAAACUUAAAGGAAUUGGCGGGGGAGCACCACAAGGGGUGAAGUCUGCGGUUUAAUUGGAUUCAACGCCGGAAAUCUCACUGGAAGCGACGGCAGAAUGAUAGCCAAGCUGAUGACUUUGCUUGACGAGCCGAGAGGAGGUGCAUGGCCAA
rnacentral:rRNA from 1 species